CCCUUAGAUGUUCUGGGCCGCACGCGCGUUACACUGAUGCAUUCAACGAGUUCUUCCUUGGCCGAGAGGCCUGGGCAAUCUUUUGAACGUGCAUCGUGAUAGGGAUAGAUUAUUGCAAUUAUUAAUCUUGAACGAGGAAUUCCUAGUAAACGCAGUUCAUCAAACUGCAUUGAUUACGUCCCUGCCCUUUGUACACACCGCCCGUCGCACCUACCGAUUGAAUGGUCCGGUGAAGCCUCCGGAUUGGCGCGCACCUCGGUGCCGCCGAGAAGUUGGCUAAACCUUACCAUUUAGAGGAAGGUGAAGUCGUANCA
rnacentral:rRNA from 1 species